AGCUGGGCAGAGCCACAUCCACCAGGGGGCAAUCUUGCUUUCUUCUUUUGCCCAGGCUACUUGUCUGAUUGCAUUCCUUCUGGUGAGAGAGAAGACCUCUAGGCCUUACCAUCUGCCUCUCUAUGGUUACCCCUUCCACAUCAUGGAGUUAAACUGUGAACUUCUGGAGAGCAGACCCUGUCUUGAUUUUCUAUCUGUAUCCUCAGAGCUUGACACAAAAAACAUAAGUGUUUAAUUGCAGCAAGUAAAGACAAAAGCCCUUUAAUAAGAUGUCUCCACCAUCACUGCUUUGUGUGUAUGGCAGAAUAAAUCUCAUCUCCCUUCCACAUGGCAGCCUUUCAAUUUCUCUAGGAAACUCCCCAGGCUUCCAUGGAGCAGAUCCCCAAGUUGAUCCCCACAUAGGAGUCCCUUCACAAUCCCAGAAGCUCUACUGAUGGUGACAAAGCCUAGCAGUGGGGAGCCCAGCCCAAGCUUUUCUCAGAAAUGUUCUGUCUCAAUACCUGCAUAUUUGUUUGGUGAGAAAUAAAAAUGAAAAAAAAAAUCAAAGAACAGAAAAAGGGGGGAGGGAGAACAGGUUUAGUAUCCCCAAAGUUCAAGUUGUCCAAUGGAAUUCACAUCUGGCACAGAAUAGAUCAACUAAUUGUGUUUGCUCAAACAUCUCUAAGCCCUGAAAAAGUUUCCAUCUCAUUGGUAAGCUAAAGUCAUCUAUUAGAUCACCCCAUUAUGCAAAGUAGGAAACAGGCCCAGGGAGAGAGAGGGACUGUUAAUAGAAUCAGGACCCAAGCCUUGUGUUGCCCUGCUGGAAGCCAAAGCUGAGAGAAUUGCUGAAAAGUACCUAGGGGUGGCUUCUCCCAUGGCUCCCCCAGUCCCUUUGUAGCUCCUCACCUCCUCAAUGCAUGGUAUUCUCUGGUUUCUUCUCUUCCCCACUCAGCCCCAUAAGAAACACCUCACUUUAUCCCCAAUUCAGAGGACCUUCUUUAGGAUCAUUUCCAGGGAUUUAUCAUUGUAUGUAGUUUGGGCAGACAACAUCACUGAUGGAUUAGAAUUCCUCAGUAGGUAUUUCUGAAAAAAGAUCCUUAUAGGCAAAAAUGGCUAAUGGUAGAGAUGCUUCAGAGGACACCCUGCUGCAGGAGUGAAUUGGGACCGUGUCUCUGGGUUUCUAGUUCUCUUCUGAGGACUGACUGGCUACUAUUCUAAGAUACUAAAACUAUCCAGCAUGCACCUAGGUCUACAUUGCUCUGUACAUCACUUGCAAUCUCUUCAGAGAUGAUAGGUUGUGUGUUACCAUGGAAAGAGUCAAAAGAUCUGGGUUCAAAUCUCAGCUCUAUCACUAUCUGUGUGACUUUGGGCAAGUCACUUACAUCUCAGCCUUGGUUUACUCACUUGAAAAAUGAGGACUGGAUUAGAUGACAUUCAAUAUUCCUUUCAACUCUGUUCUCUCUCUGGGUUGUGCAUAAGCACAGCCAGGGUCUAAGCAGCCAGGGUCAGUCCUGUCUAAUGUUGAGUUUGGGUAGGGUUUUUUUUUUUUUUUUGGUGCUCCUACCUCCUGCUGGACUCCCCCAGCUCUUCUGUUCUGGCACUCAGUGUCCCUUUGCUACUCCCUCUCUCUACCCUAGCUUGCUCAUUGAAAAGGUUCUCAUAUUAACCAUUUACAUCUUCUUAUGAAUUACAGUCAAUAUGCCCUCUUCCAGAAGCAUGUGCCUUGAGGGCAGGACCCAUUUCACUUUUUUUCCUCCAUAUCACCAGUGCUCAGCACAGUGCCUGGCAUAUAGUAAGUGCUUAAUAAAUGCUUGUUUAUUGAUUAAUUGUAAGCCUUAUCUCCUCUUUCAGAAAGGAAGUUUAGGUUUCAGGAAGCAGGAAGGGGAAGGUGGAGGCAAGUGGGAAAGAACAUAAGCCAACAUGGGAGGCCUGGGCGAUCUGGUACCCUGAGGAGCAUAGGGCUCCUGGUGCACCUGUUACCUUCUUACUGCUGUGCUUUGUCAGACAGACAUUCCAAGCCACCUGAAGCUGUCAUUAGGAGGAUCAGGAAAGUGUAGGGAUUAUUACACAAACAGCACACUACAGCUUGCUGCUUCCCCAGGAUCCAGGGGGUCACCGAACUAGAAAACUGAGGGUCAGCCAAGGGAAUGACACCAGGAGGGAAAAGGGAAAUGACUUUUCAUUUUAUAAAAUAUCCAAAUCAGAAGCAUAUGGGGUUAUUUCUAUUCUUUUUGUUUAUGGAGAACAAUGUAUCUUGACAUCCUUAUCAGACCUCUGGAGAUUUAGAAAUUAAAAACUGAGAACAAAAGAUCUUCAAGAGGCAUACCCUGUACUUGGGGCUCAGAGCUGAUCCCUUCCACCCCCUACCAGGCCAGAAAGCAAAUGGACUAAUGAUAACCAUAUAUAUUGUCUUUACCAAGAUGGCAGCAGGCUUAUAGGCCCCUGCCUCCUCUGGCCUCCCUCUACUUUGUAGUAGCUAUUUAGAAAAGAAUUUGAUAUAAAAAGGAAGAAAGUACAUCCACAAUACAGGCCAAAGUAACUCACCCAAACU